rnacentral:rRNA from 1 species
GCAUAUCAAUAAGCGGAGGAAAAGAAACCAACAGGGAUUGCCUCAGUAACGGCGAGUGAAGCGGCAACAGCUCAAAUUUGAAAUCUGGCGGCCUCUGGGCCGUCCGAGUUGUAAUUUGAAGAGGAUGCUUUUGGCGAGGUGCCUUCCGAGUGCCCUGGAACGGGACGCCACAGAGGGUGAGAGCCCCGUAUGGUUGGACGCCGAGCCUCUGUAAAGCUCCUUCGACGAGUCGAGUAGUUUGGGAAUGCUGCUCAAAAUGGGAGGUAAACCCCUUCUAAAGCUAAAUACUGGCCAGAGACCGAUAGCGCACAAGUAGAGUGAUCGAAAGAUGAAAAGCACUUUGAAAAGAGAGUUAAACAGCACGUGAAAUUGUUGAAAGGGAAGCGCUUGCGACCAGACUUGUGCUCGUCGAAUCAGCCGCCGCUCGUCGGCGGCGCACUUCGGCGGGCUCAGGCCAGCAUCAGUUCGCUGCAGGGGGAGAAAGGCGAUGGGAAUGUGGCUCUUCGGAGUGUUAUAGCCCGCCGCGCAAUACCCCUCGGCGGACUGAGGACCGCGCAUCUGCAAGGAUGCUGGCGUAAUGGUCGUCAGCGACCCGUCUUGAAACACGGACC